rnacentral:rRNA from 1 species
GAUGAACGCUGGCGGCGUGCUUAACACAUGCAAGUCGAACGGAAAGGCCCAAGCUUGCUUGGGUACUCGAGUGGCGAACGGGUGAGUAACACGUGGGUGAUCUGCCCUGCACUUCGGGAUAAGCCUGGGAAACUGGGUCUAAUACCGGAUAGGACGAUGGUUUGGAUCCCAUUGUGGAAAGUUUUUUCGGUGUGGGAUGAGCUCGCGGCCUAUCAGCUUGUUGGUGGGGUAAUGGCCUACCAAGGCGUCGACGGGUAGCCGGCCUGAGAGGGUGUACGGCCACAUUGGGACUGAGAUACGGCCCAGACUCCUACGGGAGGCAGCAGUGGGGAAUAUUGCACAAUGGGCGCAAGCCUGAUGCAGCGACGCCGCGUGGGGGAUGACGGCCUUCGGGUUGUAAACUCCUUUCGCUAGGGACGAAGCGUUUUUGUGACGGUACCUGGAGAAGAAGCACCGGCUAACUACGUG